rnacentral:rRNA from 1 species
GAUGAACGCUAGCGGGAGGCCUAACACAUGCAAGUCGAGCGGGAUUGGUAGCAAUACCAUGAGAGCGGCGCACGGGUGAGUAAUGCAUAUGCAACCUGCCCUUUACUGGGGGAUAGCCCGGAGAAAUUCGGAUUAAUACCCCAUAGUUCCUGGAGAUCGCAUGGUUUUCAGGAUAAAGCUGAGGCGGUAAAGGAUGGGCAUAUGUGACAUUAGUUAGUUGGCGGGGUAACGGCCCACCAAGACGAUGAUGUCUAGGGGUUCUGAGAGGAUGAUCCCCCACACUGGUACUGAGACACGGACCAGACUCCUACGGGAGGCAGCAGUGAGGAAUAUUGGUCAAUGGGCGCAAGCCUGAACCAGCCAUCCCGCGUGAAGGAAGACGGCCCUACGGGUUGUAAACUUCUUUUGUAAGGGAAUAAAUAGUCUUACGCGCUAAGACGUUGCAGGUACCUUACGAAUAAGGAUCGGCUAACUCCGUGCCAGCAGCCCGCGGUAAAAGUCACG